rnacentral:ribozyme from 1 species
UGCCCUGCAACUCCUAUCCCUACCUCCUCGCGGUACUGGCCGUGGUACGAGUAACCUUAGGGAAGA